AAAGCCCGAAACAAGAGACUUUUUGAAAGCAAGAUAGAGCAACCGGAAACCAUAACAAGGCGUAUCCAAAUUCAAUCUUAUAGAAUCUUGUAUAGCCUAUUCUUAGAUUUAGUCUCAGAUGGUUUGUAAUUGGCUAUGUUUUUACCUUUUUGUACAGAGUCGGGCUGUAUCGCAUAGGCAUCUUUUAUUUAGUUCCGUAUCUUGGAAUUUAGAUUG
rnacentral:lncRNA from 1 species